rnacentral:SRP_RNA from 1 species
GCCAGGCGUGGUGGUGCACGCCUGUAGUCCCAGCUACUUGGGAGGCUGAGGCAGAAGAAUCGCUUGAACCCAGGAGGCAGAGGUUGCAGUGAGCCAAGAUCGCGCCACUGCACCCUAGCCUGGAUGACAGAGCGAGACUCCAUCUCAA